rnacentral:lncRNA from 1 species
AGUUAAAAGAAAAAGUAUGAUUUCGCAUACUAAUUACGCAUAAAUUAGCAUAAUCACUUAAUAGCAAUUCGCAUAAAAUAAGUUACUAUACAAUAUUCUAGAUUAUGUCCCAAGCAACCCGCGUGCCAAUUUUCAGCGCAAUCGUGCAGUCGACGGCCGAGAUCUUAGGGGGGGGGCCUCCCCGGCCAUAGGAACUCCCAAAAUACCCCAGCCUAGAUAAGGUUAAGAGAGAUCAAAUUUGGUUUUCAGGUUUAGCCAUCAAGAGUAAUAAAUGAAUGCGCAUAGUGUGAAUGAUGGGCCGGGGUAAGGGACAUAAAGUAUAAGUAUAUUUAGAGAGUUCAAGGAUUUUGUUAUCAAGGUUAAUCAAUCAAUCAUUUUGAGAUCUCAUGAUACUAACUGUCAAACUGAAAUCGUGUUAGGAAGACGGUAAAUGCGGCUUGAAUUAAAAAACAAGGGUAAAAUGGGGUUUAUGAUAUGCACGUGCUGAUUACAGCAAAUAAAUUUAGCAAAAGGUGAAGGACAUAAAGUAUGAGUAUAUUAAGAGAGAAAAAGUUUUGUUUUCAAGGUUUAGCCAACAGGAUUAAAUGCGCACAACGCACAUAGUCUAAAUGAGGGUGGGGGACAUAAAAUAUGAAUAUAUUAAGAAAGAUGAAGAUUGGCUUUCAAGGUUAAUGAAGCGUUUUGAGAUCUCAUGAAUAUACGUGGUUAGCUGUCAAGCUGAAAUCAUAUUAGGAAGAUGGUAAGUGCGGCUUCAAUUAAAAAACAAGGGGAAAAUAGGUUUUUAAUAUACACGUUCAAAUUACAACAUAUGAAUUCAUCAAAAGGUGGGGGACAUAAAGUAUGAGUAUAUCAAGAGAGAUGAAGUUUUGUUUUCAACAUUUAGCCAAAAAGGUAAAAUGCGCAAAACAAGCAUAGUGUGAAUGGGGGUGGGAGACAUAAAGUAUGAGUAUAUUAAGAGAGAUGAAGUUUUGUUUUCAAGGUUUAGCCAACAAGAUUAAAUGCGCGGAACGCACAUAGUGUGAAUGGGGUGGGGGACAUAAAGUAUGACUAUUAAGAGAGAUGAAGUUUUGUUUUCAAGGUUUAGCCAACAAGAUUAAAUGCACGGAACAAGCAUAACAUACAGAGAUGAAGUUCUGUUUUCAAAGUUUAGCCAACAAAAUUAAAUGGGCAAAACAAGCAUAGUGUGAAUGGGGGUGGGGGACAUAAAGUAUGAGUAUAUUAAGACAGAUGAAGGAAUUUGGUAUCAAGGUUUCCCUAUCCAACAGAGUUAAAAGGAAGUGGGGGACUUAAAGUAUGACUAUAUUAAGAAGAUGGUUGGCUUUCAACUCAAGGUUAAUAAAUCGUUUUGAGAUCUCAUGAAUUUACAUGGCUAGCUGUCAAGUUGAAAUCGUAUUUGGAAGGACAAGGUAUAUAAGUGCAUGGACCUACAGAUCCAUGAUAAGUGCGACUUGACUUUAAAAAAAAACAACAGGCAAGUAAGCUUCCACGUAUGAAUUUCGCCCACAUAUAAAUAUGAUAAGUGACGAGGUUAUGAUAAGUGACAAGGUUUUGAACAAAAUGGUAAGGAACUGAGAUCGAAAAUCUGUUAGUGUUGAGAGAGACAUAAAGUAUGGGAAUGCCCCAACAUUUCAUAUUUUUAAUGUAAUCCACAGACAAAAACAAGGCUUCAAAAGAUAAAAUGUCCGGACACCCGACCACCCAUCCUACCGGUGUAGCCUAGCCCUAGCCGGGCCUAGGCCUAGGCAACGACGCAUCAAGCCAGGGCCAGGCCGAAAGCUUAUUUGAACACAGAUAACGCACAUCUACCUUAGAUUGCAGAAGGAUGGGGGGUUGGGUGUCCGGACACUUUAUCUUUAAUACUUACGUCAUCUUUUGAGAGAUUGUUGAUAUAAAUCUCUACAAUUGUCGUCGGUAACUCCUUACAAAUUACUUUCGAACAGAGGAAAGUCUUCUCUCCUUUAGACAUCUCUGCAAACGUUUCAAGGAGAUAAAAACUCCUUCGUUGGAAAUUACUUGGAAAACUUGAAGAAGUCGCCAUUUUGCCUUGGUUGCACAAUGUCAUAUACGAUAGUAGGUACAAUUAGUACAAUAGGUAUACGGUACGAUUCUCGACCGAUAUCAAGACAACUGGGGUGGUAUUCUGACAUCCAUUUUAUCUCAGAUAAAAUAAAAUAUUUUAUCUCCGUUAAAAUCAGUGAGAUAAAAUAUUCUUAAAUCUCUCCGAAUUAGUAUUCUGAAAACCAAUUUAUCUUUAUUUUAUUUUCGAAAGAUACACCUACUUUUCAAACAACAUCCAAUGAGAAACGCUCUUUUUAGCACUCUCGUCUUGU